GAGGGAGGACUUCCAGCGCACGAGAAAACGCGAGAGAGAGAGAGAGAGAGAGUCCUAAUCCCUUCUCUCGGUGUUACUGCGAUCGCUUCGAUCACGAGGCUUCCCGCUGUCCGCCCUCUGGGAGAUUCAAGCUCCAGGUGAAGGUUUAACAGCAUACUAAGCAAUUGAUUUGGGCACCUCUUACUGGUGCAAACCAUCACCAGCAAGCCCCACCGGCAAUGCUUCCUCCCACGCCAGCCUCCGAGGUCGGUCCCUCGCUUCGUCCGACCAUGCAGACUCACUCGCAUCCCAAGAACCACGAUAAUAUUCUAAUGGCGAAGCUCCCCCACUGAGAAUGCCAGCUCGCAUGAGGCCUGGCCCAUCGAGACAAACCGCCCAGUUGCCGUCACGGGAAACAAAGUAGAGAAGGAAAAGCAAGGGGACAAUGAAACCACUGGACUGAGGAUGAAACAGAGGCUAAGAUGUUCCAGCUUAAGGCCAGCGAGGUCAAGCAGGAGACUGUGAGGCUACAGGGAAUUGCACUUGCUAAAUCAGAGAAUGCUGAGCAGCACUAUGCCAGUAUGUAACCUGAAGCAUUUUCUUGAAGAAGCAGAAACUGAGAAGCAAUAUCUGCUUGAAAAGAUAGAGCUUCAGGAGAUCAGCAGUGGAAAAGUAAAAAUCCAGGAUUUAUUGAAGAAUGUGCUAAAUCAGAGAAUGCUAGGCAGCACUAUGCCAGUAUGUAACCUAAAGCAUUGUCUUGAGGAGUAUCUGCUUGAAAAGAUAGAGCUUCAGGAGAUCAGCAGUGGAAAAGUAAAAAAUCCAGGAUUUAUUGAAGAAUGUGCAUAGCAUUCGAUCAAAGGCAGCAGGGUAAAAGUAAAAAUGAGCUGCUGCUGACUGCCCAUAGAGAUUCCUGGUUCUAUUUUAUGUAGUAAUUUACAGCCAAGGAUUAGUAGUCCACAACCAAGGAGUGUUGAUAUUAUCAUCUGGAUGUUGCUUGAUGUAGUUCCAGUUGGUCUUUUGAACCAAUCUUCAUCUUUAUAUGAUUUGAUGCUUAUAAUUAAUUGUCUUUA